rnacentral:rRNA from 1 species
AGGCUGCAGUCAAGAAUCUUCCUCAAUGGGCGAAAGCCUGAAGGAGCGACGCCGCGUGUAUGAAGAAGCCCUUCGGGGUGUAAAAUACUUUUAUCAGGGACGAAACAAUGACGGUACCUGAUGAAUAAGGGGCUGCUAACUUCGUGCCAGCAGCAGCGGUAAUACGAAGGCCCCAAGCGUUAUCCGGAUUUAUUGGGCGUAAAGAGCACGUAGGCGGUUUAUCGCAUCUCCUGUUAAAUCUCGGAGCUCAACUUCGGGACCGCGGGAGAGAUGGAUAGACUAGAGAUCGGGAUAGGCAAGUGGAAUUGCUGGUGUAGGGGUUAAAUCCGUUAAUAUCAGCAGGAACACCAAAUGCGAAGGCAACUUGCUAGAACGAUUCUGACGCUGAGGUGCGAAAGCGUGGGGAGCGAAUGGGAUUAGAUACCCCUGUAGUC